CAGUGCCGCGGUAAUACAGAGGGUGCGAGCGUUAAUCGGAUUUACUGGGCGUAAAGCGUGCGUAGGCGGCUUUUUAAGUCGGAUGUGAAAUCCCUGAGCUUAACUUAGGAAUUGCAUUCGAUACUGGGAAGCUAGAGUAUGGGAGGGGAUGGUAGAAUUCCAGGUGUAGCGGUGAAAUGCGUAGAGAUCUGGAGGAAUACCGAUGGCGAAGGCAGCCAUCUGGCCUAAUACUGACGCUGAGGUACGAAAGCAUGGGGAGCAAACAGGAUUAGAUACCCGCGUAGUCCCUGUCUCUUAUACA
rnacentral:rRNA from 1 species